CUCAAAUUUUCAUUUCUACUGUAAUGUUCAUAUCAAAUUUAUUGAAAACAGUCAAUGUCAUGGAUUUCAUAAUAUUAAAUAAGUUCGUCCAACUUGAAAAAAAUGAAAAACAAAUCACUGCAAAUAAUUCUCACCAACGGAACGUGUUUUGAUUACAAAAAUUGCUGUAACUUUGAAAAAUUCGCGGCGUGUUAACGCGAUACCCAAACAAAAAUAGUGUAAAACGUGAGGACAACGAAAAAUAAUGAAAUUUAUAUGUACACAAAUAUUUUAGACAUAAAAAAAGAAAUAAGAGCGAAUGUUCAAAUAAUGUUAGUUGGGAAUACGAGUUGGUACGGAAAGAAUGAAUGAAUGAACGAAUGAUAAAGUCAAGUGUUCUCUGAUUCAACAUUUUUAUGUUAUUCCUGGCACGUUAAACUGCGGCUACCAUCAAUUGCGCGAAAAAUUUAAUUGUGAUAUACUUUAUAUAAGUAACAUCAUAAAACAUGUUUGAAAAAUUCUUGUAAUGUAAUAAUUCCUUGAAAUAUAACAAGUCGAAAAUAUUUUAAUGACUUACA